AUUGAACGCUGGCGGCAGGCCUAACACAUGCAAGUCGAACGAGUGGCGGACGGGUGAGUAAUGUCUGGGAAACUGCCUUAUGGAGGGGGAUAACUACUGGAAACGGUAGCUAAUACCGCAUACCAUCAGAGGUGCCCGUAUGGGAUUAGCUAGUUGGUGGGGUAACGGCUCACCAAGGCUAAGCUCCCUAGCUGGUCUGAGAGGACGACCAGCCAAACUGGAACUGAGACACGGUCCAGACGCCUACGGGAGGCAGCAGUGGGGAAUUUUGGACAAUGGGCGCAAGCCUGAUGCAGCCAUGCCGCGUGGAUGAAGAAGGCCUUCGGGUUGUAAAGUACUUUCAGCGGGGAAGCGUUACCCGCAGAAGAAGCACCGGCUAACUCCGUGCCAGCCGCCGCGGUAAUUC
rnacentral:rRNA from 1 species